rnacentral:lncRNA from 1 species
CUUACUUAUGCUUGUGUUUAGACAUUGUUACAGACGUAAGCAGAGGGAACUACCAUAAAGUUGUCCCUGGCCCGCGUAACUAACACCUAUGCUUUUCAGCAGUAUGAACAUCUGUGUUUUUAAAAUAUGUUUUCAAAAUAGGAAGUUUAGUUACUCAAUGCAUUCCAUAUCUUGGAUAGUUUUGCAUCACAUGGUAAAUCUUCAGAUAAAUCUGAAAGCUUGUUCAACUGAGUAAUAGCUCCUAGUGUUGGGUCGGUGCCAUGCUAUUGAAAAAGGAAUGCAAUGAGAUGAAGCAUGAUCUGGUUUGCGAUUUAAAAGGAGCAACAUCCACCUCAAUACUAGUGUAGUAUAUGACUGACCAUUUACUUUGAUUUGUAGUUCACAGCAACCCAAUGGACAUGCCAGGAAGAGAACUGAGUGAGGACAGAGACAGCGGCAUAGCACGCUCUGCAUCUCUGAGCAGCCUGCUCAUCACCCCAUUUCCCUCCCCAAACUCCUCACUCACCCGAAGCUGUGCCAGCAGCUACCAGCGACGUUGGCGACGUAGCCAAACAACAAGUUUGGAAAAUGGGGUAUUUCCUAGAUGGUCUAUAGAAGAAAGCUUUAAUCUGUCAGAUGAAAGUUGUGGCCCUAACCCAGGAAUUGUGAGGAAAAAGAAGAUUGCAAUUGGGGUAAUCUUUUCAUUAUCCAAAGAUGAAGAUGAAAAUAACAAAUUCAAUGAAUUCUUUUUUUCACAUUUUCCUCUCUUUGAAAGCCACAUGAACAAAUUAAAGAGUGCAAUAGAACAGGCUAUGAAAAUGAGCCGGAGAUCAGCUGAUGCUGGCCAGAGAAGUUUAGCAUACAAUCGAAUAGUUGAUGCCUUGACUGAAUUCAGAACAACAAUUUGUAAUCUUUACACAAUGCCAAGAAUUGGGGAACCUGUGUGGCUUACAAUGAUGUCAGGGA